AGUCUGAAGGGCUUACCUGACACGCUGAGAGGAGUUGCAUGGCCGACGUCAGCCUGUGCCGUGAGGUGACCUGUUAAAUCAGGUAACAGGCGAGACCCAUGUGUAUAGUUACUUCAUAGAAGAUCACUAUAUAGACUGCAGUGGUAACACUGAGGAAGGAAUGGGCUACGUUAGGUGAGUACUGCCCGAAUCCCCUGGGCUACACGCGCGCGUCAAUGCUGCAUUCAAAUAGAUGCGACUCUGAAAAGAGAAGCUAAUCCUUUAAUAUCCAGCUUAGUUUAGAUUGAGGUUUGCAACCCAGCCUCAUGACACCGGAAUCCGUAGUAAUCGUUUAUUAUCAAUGAACGGUGAAUAUGUCCCUGCCCCUUGCACACACUGCCCGUCAAACCAACCGAGUUUUGCACUGUUGAGGUCCUUAUGGAACGAAACUAUGUAAGACAAGGUAGGUUAAGUCGUCACAAGGUAACUGUAGGGGAACCUGCAGUUGGAUCACCUCCUA
rnacentral:rRNA from 1 species